UCCCAGGUGGCCUAGGGGUUAGGACUUAGCACUUUCACUGCUGUGGCCCAGGUUCAAUCCCUGGCCUGGAAA
rnacentral:tRNA from 1 species